rnacentral:lncRNA from 1 species
UUUUUUCAAUGCGUUUCUUUUGAAAAAUAAAUAUGUUAUGAUGCACAUGAUGCAGACAUGGCUGGCUGGUUGUGCAAACUCUGAUACUAGGUCGAAGCUCCAGUCAAAAUCGGAACAUAAAUCCCACUUAAGGUUAACUGAACACUGUCUGAACACAAAGUCACCAUCAGAACCAAGUCACCAACAGAACCGAGUCACCAACGGUACCUGUAAUAAUGAUCAUUCCCUCCC